rnacentral:miRNA from 1 species
UAUGUGUGUGUGUUUGUGUGUGUGUGUAUGUGAUAAGAUGAACCAAGUACACACACACACACACACACACACAUU